rnacentral:lncRNA from 1 species
UGGCUCUAGCUAGUUUCCUGGGUUGGGCUGAAUGCUGAAGCAUGGUGAGCAAUGAGCCGUUUUACAGGAAGGAAGAAGGAUCACCAGGUCACAUAGCAAUUAAAGGUCGGCCAGGAUCUGGGCUCAGGUGUCUCCGUCCAUGUGACGCCUCCAGUAGGGUCAAACUUGCUGUGGGGAGCUGUGGAGUCUGCUGGAAAAACCAGGGAAAUGGAUUUGCAGCACUCUCGGAAAAAGCCAACACGUUGCCGGAGACGAGCAGAGGCGGCUUGGUUCCAUCCCCAGACGCUUUCUGGUGGCUUUCUGGAGACAGAGGGCGGCAGGAUGAGCUGUCUGCGGCUGUUCCCCGGACAACAUCUGCAGUGAGCCUUGCAGCCUUGACAAGCAGCCACCCCAUCGUGGGCCGGGUGAUGAGAGGGGAAGCCCAGAGGGACCUGACAGAGCCCUCGGGUCAGGGAGGCCACCAGGGGAAGCCAGUGCCUGAGAUGAGCCUCAGGAGUGGCCAUGUAGAACCUUCUAGGUGGAGGGACACCCUGCCCGGCCUCUGGCCGAGAGGCUCCCUGCAGGAAACCAGUGGGAGCCCAGUGUGGCUGGGACUCUCAGGGUGAAGGCAGGAGAUGGGGAGGCUGGAGAGAGGGACAGGAGCACUCGGGGUCCUGGCGUCUUUCCCUGCUACCACCCUUCAGGGACCGUUAGUCCAGGUGUGGGGAGGCACCUUUGGGUGGGGUAUGGCCCCUGCUGCUCACCCACAAUGCCCACCCUAGGCCUGGAGCUGGCAAAGGGACACUGACCAGAGGCCACUGUUCUGCUUGCUGUGGGCUUGGCUGAGGCUGCCUGGCAGCAGUGGACACAUUCCCAGCCAUGGCCCCUGUGAGUGGUACCACCUACCUGAAGAGAGCCUGGGCCAGUCCCCUGCCCAGGCAGACCAUCUCCCCUGUCAGCAGGGCUCAGGAGGCCACCGCACCCAGGUGCAUCUCAGUGUUCAUUCAUCCACUCAUUCAUUCCUCGGGAGGAACAUCAACACCUGGGCCUGGGCAAGGCAAUGGGGAGCGAGCCCCACAGCGUUACGGCGGGGGCAGGUUGGGGGGCAGGACUCACAGCA